rfam:Gossypium hirsutum cultivar TM-1 unplaced genomic scaffold scaffold26.1, whole genome shotgun sequence
UGUUAAAAAUUUCCAUCCAUUUGUACUACCAAAAACUAAAAGGCUAAUGGAAUAACCAAGCAAUGACACUUGACAUGCCACGUGUAUCUCAUGAUGAUGUACAGAACUAGUUUUUAAUGGUAGGAAUGGGUGAAAUUUUUAACA